CCCUUAGAUGUUCUGGGAUGCACGCGCGUUACACUGAUUCGUUCAACGAGUUUAUGACCUUGCCUGAUGAGGUGGGGGAAUCUUUUCAAAUCGCAUCGUGAUGGGGAUAGAGUAUUGUAACUGUUAGUCUUCAACGAGGAAUUCCUAGUAAGUACGUGUCAUCAGCUCGUACUGAUUAUGUCCCUGCCCUUUGUACACACCGCCCGUCGCUCCUACCGAUUGAGUGCUCAGGUGAAUAGUAUGGACUGCAUCAGUGUUCGGUCUCCGAAUGUUGACGCGAGAAAUUCUGUGAAUCUUAUUGCUUAGAGGAAGGAGANGUCGUAACA
rnacentral:rRNA from 1 species